rnacentral:rRNA from 1 species
GACAGAGGGUGCAAACGUUGUUCGGAAUUACUGGGCGGAAAGCGCAUGUAGGCGGCCACGCAGGUCGGAUGUGAAAUCCCUCGGCUCAACCAAGGAAGUGCAUUCGAAACCGCAUGGCUGGAGUCCCGGAGAGGAAGGCGGAAUUCUCGGUGUAGAGGUGAAAUUCGUAGAUAUCGAGAGGAACACCGGCGGCGAAAGCGGCCUUCUGGACGAGGACUGACGCUGAGAUGCGAAAGCGUGGGGAGCAAACAGG